UACGUAGGGUGCAAGCGUUAAUCGGAAUUACUGGGCGUAAAGCGUGCGCAGGCGGUUGUGCAAGACAGAUGUGAAAUCCCCGGGCUUAACCUGGGAAUUGCAUUUGUGACUGCAUGGCUAGAGUGUGUCAGAGGGGGGUAGAAUUCCACGUGUAGCAGUGAAAUGCGUAGAUAUGUGGAGGAAUACCGAUGGCGAAGGCAGCCCCCUGGGAUAACACUGACGCUCAUGCACGAAAGCGUGGGGAGCAAACAGG
rnacentral:rRNA from 1 species